UAGGGAAUCUUCCGCAAUGGGGGAAACCCUGAUGCAGCGACGCCGCGUGAUUUAGAAGGCCUUCGGGUUGUAAAAAUCUUUUCUAUGGGAAGAAAAUGACAGUACCAUAGGAAUAAGGACCGGCUAAUUACGUGCCAGCAGCCGCGGUAAUACGUAAGGUCCGAGCGUUGUCCGGAAUCAUUGGGCGUAAAGCGAGCGCAGGCGGUUAGAAAAGUCUGAAGUGAAAGGCAGUGGCUCAACCAUUGUAGGCUUUGGAAACUGUUUAACUUGAGUGCAGAAGGGGAGAGUGGAAUUCCAUGUGUAGCGGUGAAAUGCGUAGAUAUAUGGAGGAACACCAGUGGCGAAGGCGACUCUCUGGUCUGUAACUGACGCUGAGGCUCGAAAGCGUGGGUAGCAAACAGG
rnacentral:rRNA from 1 species